AUUGAACGCUGGCGGCAUGCCUAACACAUGCAAGUCGAACGGAAACGAUGCUAGCUUGCUAGCAGGCGUCGAGUGGCGGACGGGUGAGUAAUGUAUAGGGAUCUGCCUAGUAGUGGGGGACAACAUGUGGAAACGCAUGCUAAUACCGCAUACGCUCUACGGAGGAAAGUGGGGGACCUUUCGGGGCCUCAUGCUACUAGAUGAACCUAUAUUGGAUUAGCUUGUUGGUAAGGUAAUGGCUUACCAAGGCGACGAUCCAUAGCUGGUUUGAGAGAAUGAUCAGCCACACUGGGACUGAGACACGGCCCAGACUCCUACGGGAGGCAGCAGUGGGGAAUAUUGCACAAUGGACGAAAGUCUGAUGCAGCAAUGCCGCGUGUGUGAAGAAGGCCUUAGGGUUGUAAAGCACUUUCAGACGUGAGGAAAAGUAAUAAUUUAAUAAAUUAUUACCUUGACGUUAACGUCAGAAGAAGGACCGGCUAACUCCGUGCCAGCAGCCGCGGUAAUACGGAGGGUCCAAGCGUUAAUCGGAAUUACUGGGCGUAAAGCGCGCGUAGGCGGAUAUUUAAGUCAGAUGUGAAAUCCCUGGGCUCAACCUAGGAACUGCAUUUGAUACUGGAUAUCUAGAGUAUGGUAGAGGUGAGUGGAAUUUCAGGUGUAGCGGUGAAAUGCGUAGAGAUCUGAAGGAACAUCAGUGGCGAAGGCGACUCACUGGGCCAUUAC
rnacentral:rRNA from 1 species